rnacentral:lncRNA from 1 species
CUAGGGCAUGGCAGUAAAAAUACCAUUUCAUUACAACUAACGCUUCAGAUCCCUCUAAGGUGAGCUAUCCAGCAUGCAAACAGUUAAGAUGACUCUGAAAAAUGCAUAUUUGUAUGUUAUUUUUAUCCAAAACAGUGCCUAAAAAGACAAACACGCAUUUUUAUAUUUCUGUAUUUUACACACAUAUGUGUAUAAUAAAAAAUAUAUAUAUAGAGGUAUACAAUAUCCCAGUAGUCUUGCACUCAAUAAUUGAUAUAAUCUUAUGCCCAGUGCUUAAUCCAGCAGUAGACUGUAAAAAAAAAAUCCAAAAAGGAUAGCACUCAUGGGACUUCUUUUACAAUUUAAAAAAACUUGUAUUGACAAUUUGAAAAAGAGGUCACAGGAGUGCUAUCCGUUUUUGGAACUUUUAUAUGUACAGUAAAUGAGUGUAUGUAUAUGUGCAUAUAAAAUCAAGCACACUCACUGACUCCCUAAACACCAGCUUCAAAGCUCAUAUAAGUUUAAAAAAUACAAUAAAGAAAUGAUUUAGACACAAAUAAAGGGGAUUUAGUUACAGUAUACGAUCAUACAUUGCCUAACUCUGCCACAAUAAAAAAAAAAAAAACAGUUUUCAUUUUGUGAGCUUUGAAGCUGGUGUUUAGUGAGUGAGUGAUUGCACUGUCUUCCCCAGCAGCACCCAGCACCCUUAUAAUGUAUGCAUGUCACUUUCUGUGGUCUGGCUGAAUUUGCAAAGACCCCCAACGGUUACAUUGCCGCUGGGGGUUUGUUGGAGGGAGGGCAAGUAAAAAUGAGAUUUACUGACCCAAACGUGUCCCUCACAGGCGCUGCCAUCUUCCUCUUAAGCUCCCGUGCUUCUGCACCACGAACCUACGUCACUGCUGCACGAGAGUGAGGUCUUUAGAGGAUCCCAUGAGACCACGUGAUCCUACAAAGACAGAGCCAAUUCUUCAAGUUUUGUUGAUUUCACAAUAUUUUGGCCCAAUAUUUUGGUACAAGCUGUUUACAAAUCCCAAAACACUUACUUGAUUAUGUUCCACUUACUGUGUAUAUGUUGGUUUACAAUAAAAGGUCUCUUUUAGCCCUGUUUCAUGUUGGAAUGGGAUAAUUUUAAUGCUGUCCCCAGUUACACGUGGCCAUGAUCUAGAAAUGAGUUUCACAAAGCACUUAUCAGGAUUAAAGCAUCAUAGUACAUUGGUACUUAUUUUUUUUAUAGGUACAAUAUACACAGCUCCAUUGUUGUGUAUGGAAUGAGAAUCUUGUCAAUGUUAAUACAGUCUUUAUAUUGCUGCUUCUGUUUGGUUUUUUUUAAAAUCUUCUCUUUAAUUGUAUUUAUUUAUUUUAAUUACGAUGCUAUGUCUGUCAUUACCAUUACUAUCUUAAUGGACUUAAUCUUUAUUAUGUAUAAAUUUUUGUCACUACGGCAGCACCAUUCCUGCAAGAUGCAUGUUUGGGGUGUGCCCCAAUUCCUUUUUGUAAUUACUCUGCAUGUUUGGAAUCCAGACAAGAUUCCCUUAGGGGUUAAACACCCUGUCCAGGCCCCCAGCUUCAGUAGCCUCUUUGGAGGUGACCACAAGUAUAUAUUUGAGGAAGUUUUGGAUAGUAAUGCCAUGAGUAUAUACAUCAAAGCACUAUCACUUUAAUUAUUUAGUUUUGACACUGCAUCUUUUAAAAUUGUGUUUAUCACAUUAAUUUUGUCUUAUAUUUAUUCAUAGCGCUCUUACAACAGAUUAUUUAAAUACACUUUACAGUUAGCACUAGCACUUUUUAAUUUGUCUCCCACGUUGGAAUUAGUGUAGGAUCCCCCAAUAUUGGGAUACUGUUAAAUAGUUUUAGGCUUAACACAAUAUGGCCAUGUGGUGGAACUAAAUUUUCAUAUUUGUUUGCUGAGAUAGGCGAUUUUAAGUAGCCUUACUGAAUUCAGAAAUGUAUUUUUAUGUGUGGGCUGUUCCUUAAUAUAUGCUACCAUUACUAUAACAUGGAGACUCGACUGUUAAUUUCACUUUUUGCUUCUCAGUGAUGUUUUUUUACAGUAUAUUUUGUAUAUUUACAAAACAUGUAAAGCUUAAACAAAGUUCAGUAAUUGUAUUUACUCCCUACAUCGCUCUUCAAGACUUUCCCACCCCAUGCAAACAGUAAAUGUAUACAUUAUUUAUAAUCUAAUAUAUUUUACGGUCUCACUUUCAAAUUCAUUGUUUUCAAUCUCAUUAUCUGUUACAUUAGGUACUAGAGAAUGAAGAAAGAAAGACGCUAAUAAUCUAACACUUACUGUUCUAAAGAAAGCAGGCCUGGACAUGGAUGUUAAAAUACACUUACAAUAGCUGCCAGACUCAUCAGCAGCAGUUGGUUGUUGAGUCUCUGUGUUUGAAACAUCAUUACUUAAACAUUAUCUGGAAAAAUAAAUUGUGCUUCCUGCGAAGUGAAGAUUAAGCACUAUCUCCCUCUCUUUCUUCCUAAGAAUAUGUGAGAAUGGAGAGGCUUAUUUAUAACUGGGCCUGCAAAGCAGCACAUGGAGAGAUUAAAGAGCAGGCUGAUGUCACCAUGGGACAGAGAGGUUGCUAAAUCUGGAAGCGAUUCGAUGAGAGAGUGAGUGAUGCAACACGUGGUGUGAGAUGUCUUUGUUUACACAGAGCUGGAAAGACAUGCCUAGAUCCUUUGGCAAAGGAGGGAGCUUUACAUUUAACUGAGCUGUGCCCUUUUACACUUCACUGUGAUAUGUUGUAGUAUUCAAAGCCAUAAGACAAUGAUUUGUGCCUAGUGUUUUACCACAUUUUUUUUCAAAACUAUACUAGAUCACAAUCCACUUCAAUUUUUAUUUUUAUUUUUUUAAUUGCUUCAUAUCAUGGAGUCAUUCCAAAAGUUUACUGUCUCAGACACACUAUUUUCCCUAGAUUUUACAGAGCUGCUGUUUGGCAUACCGUGCCUUUGCAGAACUUUAUGCCCAAUAUGUGCAAUGUGGUCCCUUGCUACACCAUCUGUACCUACAACUGUAUUUAGUCAAUGCAACAACGUAUGAUUUUAUAAAAAAUGUCCAUGGGAGUUAUGUUCUAUCACUAUAUACAUGUCAAUGUUUUUGUGAAAGACAAUAUAAUUUAGAUAUAUAUAGCAAACUUUUUUUUGUAAAUACAGGGAGUGCAGAAUUAUUAGGCAAGUUGUAUUUUUGAGGAUUAAUUUUAUUAUUGAACAACAACCAUGUUCUCAAUGAAUCCAAAAAAACUCAUUAAUAUCAAAGCUGAAUAUUUUUGGAAGUAGUUUUUAGUUUGUUUUUAGUUAUAGCUAUGUUAGGGGGAUAUCUGUGUGUGCAGGUGACUAUUACUGUGCAUAAUUAUUAGGCAACUUAACAAAAAACAAAUAUAUACCCAUUUCAAUUAUUUAUUAUUACCAGUGAAACCAAUAUAACAUCUCAACAUUCACAAAUAUACAUUUCUGACAUUCAAAAACAAAACAAAAACAAAUCAGUGACCAAUAUAGCCACCUUUCUUUGCAAGGACACUCAAAAGCCUGCCAUCCAUGGAUUCUGUCAGUGUUUUGAUCUGUUCACCAUCAACAUUGCGUGCAGCAGCAACCACAGCCUCCCAGACACUGUUCAGAGAGGUGUACUGUUUUCCCUCCUUGUAAAUCUCACAUUUGAUGAUGGACCACAAGUUCUCAAUGGGGUUCAGAUCAGGUGAACAAGGAGGCCAUGUCAUUAGAUUUUCUUCUUUUAUACCCUUUCUUGCCAGCCACGCUGUGGAGUACUUGGACGCGUGUGAUGGAGCAUUGUCCUGCAUGAAAAUCAUGUUUUUCUUGAAGGAUGCAGACUUCUUCCUGUACCACUGCUUGAAGAAGGUGUCUUCCAGGAACUGGCAGUAGGACUGGGAGUUGAGCUUGACUCCAUCCUCAACCCGAAAAGGCCCCACAAGCUCAUCUUUGAUGAUACCAGCCCAAACCAGUACUCCACCUCCACCUUGCUGGCGUCUGAGUCGGACUGGAGCUCUCUGCCCUUUACCAAUCCAGCCACGGGCCCAUCCAUCUGGCCCAUCAAGACUCACUCUCAUUUCAUCAGUCCAUAAAACCUUAGAAAAAUCAGUCUUGAGAUAUUUCUUGGCCCAGUCUUGACGUUUCAGCUUGUGUGUCUUGUUCAGUGGUGGUCGUCUUUCAGCCUUUCUUACCUUGGCCAUGUCUCUGAGUAUUGCACACCUUGUGCUUUUGGGCACUCCAGUGAUGUUGCAGCUCUGAAAUAUGGCCAAACUGGUGGCAAGUGGCAUCGUGGCAGCUGCACGCUUGACUUUUCUCAGUUCAUGGGCAGUUAUUUUGCGCCUUGGUUUUUCCACACGCUUCUUGCGACCCUGUUGACUAUUUUGAAUGAAACGCUUGAUUGUUCGAUGAUCACGCUUCAGAAGCUUUGCAAUUUUAAGAGUGCUGCAUCCCUCUGCAAGAUAUCUCACUAUUUUUGACUUUUCUGAGCCUGUCAAGUCCUUCUUUUGACCCAUUUUGCCAAAGGAAAGGAAGUUGCCUAAUAAUUAUGCACACCUGAUAUAGGGUGUUGAUGUCAUUAGACCACACCCCUUCUCAUUACAGAGAUGCACAUCACCUAAUAUGCUUAAUUGGUAGUAGGCUUUCGAGCCUAUACAGCUUGGAGUAAGACAACAUGCAUAAAGAGGAUGAUGUGGUCAAAAUACUCAUUUGCCUAAUAAUUCUGCACUCCCUGUAUAUGUUUAUUGAUUUUAAAAUGUUUUUCAUUUAUAUAGUUAUGGAAGGUACACCUUUCGAAUCACAGGGACAUGAUUUGAAAAAGAUGAUGGUAUCGCAGGACCAAAAAUUCAUUAGCCACAGCUUCAUGACAUGGAACUCACAGGUCCCUUAAAGUGAAAAGUAAAAUCAGUAUUUUCAGUCAUGUAUAUCAACGUUUCCAUUUGCUAUGCAUAUCCAGCUUUUCUGCAAUACAAAACAUCUAAAAUGGAUGGAAUGACCUAAAAUGUGACUCUGCGAUGGAUAUGAUUG